AUUAACAGACACCAUUUUUAUAGAGCUUUUUCUUGACAAUGCUACGUACUCAUGAUGAUUUUUAUCAGUGGCGACGCUUUUACGGUGAGAGGGUGGCCGCUUCCCUCCGAAGUCAUGAGGAGGACUGGAUUGUAGGAAGAACAAAUUUUAGUGGUUUACCGUGCCAAGGAAAGGCAGAAAUAUGAGAAAAAUGAACAAAAUUGUUAAAGGAAUAAUGUAAAUUACUCACCCGUUUGGCUGAGGGGCGUGAUAACACAUAAUAUCAAAACGAGGCUCCAACCUGGGCGCAUUGUACAACGGAAAUAAGGAAAUCCCAAUAAUGUCCCUCAUCUCUGCAAUGGAUUCAACGCCUGGAUGCAACCAGUCAUGCACGAUGGAUGUGCGUGUUGUAUAAACGAUGGACUAAUGAUGCACAUAAGUUACUCGCAUUCACUAUGAAACGCUCCGCGGACAGCGAACAGCGGCCGCCCCGCCAUAUGAAGUCACGCAAAUCUCAGAACCUUUUAAUAGCAUCUUCUCGGAAAAGAAACAUACCUUUCGAUUGAACAACGUACAAGUUUGAGAAGUACGAGUAUCUGCACUAGGCAUGCAUUUAAUUUUUUUUUGAAAAAAAAACCAUUACGUUCAAAAUGUUGACUUCUCGCUAAUUUAAAAAUUAGUUCUCUCUUGUAUCAAGAACACGACACAAGUGCGUCAUGCUAAUUUUUAUCGCCAAGAAAGAGUGUUAAAUUGAGCUCCUGUGAAGUGUUUGGGUUUGGACGCAAAGCGAAGUCUAUGCGUCCUAAUAUUGUAAUUCAAUUGGCGCUCUCUUCAAGUUGCAAAAUCUCGAGUGCCUUGUUUUUCAAGGCGCGAAAAAGAAAAGCUCUUCAUUUGCUUAUCUCGAGUGGUAAUUUGUUCGAAUACGUAAUUUGUAAGUACUCAUGCUCCGAAACAUUGUCGCACUUCCUGAAGCGUGCAGAGUCAUAAGCCUUGAAAAAAGCCGAUUUUUCAUGAAAAAUUCUCGAUGGUUUUCCCAACCUUGAAAUUUCAGAUCCUAAAACGGUUUCCUAAUCAUUAAUUUUGUUUCUUGUAAACAGCAUUGCAUUGGUACAGUCAGAAAAUUACGGGGAAAAAACGUAAAGGUUAUAGGAACUAUCUUCAUUGUGACUUGGGCCCCGAUACACAUAAGAAUACACGGUCUAAGGACCCAUGUCAUAUCAAAGAUAGUUCCUUUCAGUGUAAAUUUGUCCGAUUGAUA